rnacentral:misc_RNA from 1 species
GCAAACUUGGUCAUUUAGAGGAAGUAAAAGUCGUAACAAGGUUUCCGUAGGUGAACCUGCGGAAGGAUCAUUAAAAAGAUUCGGUCGUCUUCUCGGAUGCACCCUCGGGCGCGGACGGGAAGGCUUCCGAUCAAAAAUAGCACCGGCUUCUCCUGCUCUCGCGGCAGGGGAACGAAGUGUGAACCUCAUGUGCACCGUUUUAUACGGAAAAGUCCAAAGGACUUUUUCCGUAUUUACGUAUUCUUUCGUAUUGUCUGAUGUCAUUUUGAAGUAUUUUGCUUCUCUUUCUCAGUCCGCAAGGAAGGGGAAAGGAAAUAAAAACUCGAAACAACUUUUAACAAUGGAUCUCUUGGCUCUCGCAUCGAUGAAGAACGCAGC